CCUGCCACCGCUACCCUCCCACCUGCCCAGUUCUGAAGCUCCUUCAGCUGAAGCUGCUGCUGCUGCUGCUGCUCCCUUCCUGCGUGGAUCGUCUGUUCCGUCAAUCCUCUCCCCUGUGGGCGCAUCGGCAUGAGGGCCUGGGAGUUUUCCAGCAUGGAACAAUGCGUCAAUUUUUACCACGACCAAGCUCAAGAGGGAUGGUGCAACGCCACUUGGGAUAAGAUCCUCUGUUGGCCUCCAACAGCUCCAGCAAUGGUGUCGCGGCUUCCCUGUCCCCCACUCAAGGGGGUGGAUCCAUCACAAAUUGCCGAGAGAAAGUGUACCAUCGGGGGACACUGGGAAGGGAGGAACCUGGAAGAGUCCCUGCAGGGAGGGUGGACCAACUACACCCCCUGUCUCAUUCCAGAGAUCAGGAUUCUCAUGGACAAACUCUACGCCAAAUCUAAGGAAGAUGCCCAGCUGAAAUUACACGUAGCGGAAGUGAGUCGAGUCAUCGAGACGGUGGGACUGUCUCUCUCUCUGGCGUCAGUCACGGCUUCUCUAGCAAUAUUCUGCUACUUCAGAUCUCUGAGAAACAACAGAACGCGGAUGCAUUUCAACCUGUUCGUAGCCAUGGUCAUCCAGUUGAUGGUUCGACUGACGCUCUACAUCGACCAAUACAUCACUCGACAGACCCAGGAGAGAAAGCACGGCAUCGACAACACGCCCGUGUUAUGCGAGGGCUUCUACGUCCUGAUGGAGUACGCCCGCACGGCCAUGUUCCUCUGGAUGUUCAUCGAGGGUCACUAUCUCAACAGCAUGCUGACGAACGCAGUUUUCACAGACCGUCCGAACCACAAGAUGUACAACCUCAUAGGCUGGGGGCUGCCGAUCGUAAUGACAGCCGUGUGGGCUGCUGUGACAGCCGUCAAACACACGGGUUCCCAGUGCUGGUGGGGAUACAACCUCACUCCUUAUUUCUGGAUACUGGAGGGUCCUCGUUUAACUGUCAUAAUAACAAAUUUCCUUUUCCUUCUUAACAUUUUGAGAGUCCUCAUAACCAAGCUUCAAGCGAGUGUUUCGUCAGAGGCGCAACAAGUCAAAAAAGCCGUGAGAGCAGCCAUCGUCCUGCUGCCCCUUCUAGGCAUCACCAAUAGCCUCCAGAUGGUCCAUUCGCCGCUCGAGGGCAACAUCGUCGAAUUCGCCGCCUGGAGUUUCAUCACCACUUUCCUCACCUCGUUCCAGGGAUUCUUCAUCGCUCUUCUCUACUGUUUCCUCAACAACGAGGUUAGGAGCACCAUAGCUAAGUGUCUCGCAAAUUUCUACACGCAGAGGAUACUUCUGAGAAGGCCCACGGCUCACAGUGUCAACGGGAUUACCCAGAGCAGAGACACGGGCGCGGAGGGAGAGUCUCUGGCCGUCUACAGGGACGUCGUCAUCGAGGCCGAGGAUCCGGGAGUUCGAACCACCACUGUAUGACAUCACAUCCCGCUCAGCCGUUCAGCCAACGUGGAAAACGGUUUCCCCCCCCACCAUUCACAGCCAUGCUUCCAUCGAACCCACCCCGCCAUUUUGUUACUUAUUCCUCUCCUUCUCCUCCUCCUCCUCCUCAUCGUUCCUCUUGCAUCACGGGAUGCCUCUCGCAUCACGCGGCAGCAGCUGCUGCUGCUGCUGUCCGUGCAGCUGAUCUAUCCUACCAAGAUCCUUCUCACGAUAUCCUGUCGAGAACAGCUGGAGAGAAAACCCAGAUACUCACUCGUGAUAGUUUCGUCUUGAUAUCUGGAGGCGUGGCUAUGUUCCCGACGUUAGAAUUUAAGCAGAAGAUAUAUUUCUCCAAUUUUCCUUUCUUUUUUCCUUACACAUUUUUUUUUAUUCUGGGUCGGUUUUUCCAAGGCCGUGUGAUAUGCGUAGGGCUUUGAGUUUUCCUCAGUAAAAUGCCGAUUCUGAUAGCUGUUCGCUUCAGAUCCAAAAUAGCAUCACCGAUGGAAUUACGACAAAAUAACCUCUUGUUACUUCAUGACGGUCUAACUUAAAAGUAGCUGCUAUCACCGAUUUGACUGUUACGAAGCAUCUACUUCUAGGAUUUAGUGACCCGGAAAGACCCGAAAAAAGGACCCAAGAGAACUACGUACCAUAGACCUCGGGUUCGACGUAACGACGAAGACGACGAUCCCAACAAUCGGUCUCACACACAUAAAAUAAAAUAAAAAAAAAAAAAUAACAAAAAACAAAGGUGCUAAUGGUAAAUAGUAUUCGUAAGAGAUAUGUAUUCGAUUUUCUCUCUCUCUCUUUUUUUUUCCCUUUUUGCAAAGCGAAUGUAUGGGAAGUACUAUAGUAGUGAGAGUGGUUGAGUGGAAUUUGAAUGAAACUCUGUUUUUAGCACUCCAUGAAUAUAUAUAUAUAUAUAUAUAUAUAUAUAUAUAUAUAUAUAUAUAUAUAUAUAUAUAUAUAUAUAUAUAUAUAUUGGCGUGGAGUGAGCAUUGUUCUAAAAAUAAAUAAAAAGUUACAUUUGUUAUCAGGGACUAUCGUGGUAAGGAUAUAUAUAUCUUUUUUUUUCCUCUCUGAAAAUACCUCAGCUAUUGGAAAGCCAAUUUGGUUCAUCUACCCUUAUCGAAUCCUUACAACCUCUUCUGACACUGCUGCUGUUUACCCUUUAAACUGAUUAUCAACUUCAAAGUUUCUCUCCCUUUCUCCCUUUAAGCACAUAUAUAGUAACAGGACAACAGUUAAACAAGGACGGUAACUCACCACGAUUUUUAAUGCCCUAAAAAUUCCAAGUUUUCCAGGGCUGUCUGCCCCCAUCGUCCAGUAGCUUCCAGACGAUGAGGACAGACAGUCCUUAAAAGCUUGUCACUGUAUUUGAAUAAAAAUCUCCUUUCGAUCAUACCAUCCUAUUUCAAUAAGGUCCUGUUAUCGAUAGUCUCCUUCGCUCUUCCUUGUCCUUCAAUUCCCGACACCCGCCCCCCCCCUCUCCUUCAUCCCUGAACCUGCCCCCCUCUGUUUACUCCAAGAGGCCCUAAAGGGGGUGUGGCCUUGUGGUGUACAACAGAGGUCUUUAGCUGAUUCACUCUGACCUGUCACAAUUCUCUCCCGUUUUUUUUUUUUUUUUUUUUAACUUAACCUGAAGACCUGCAGUAGGAGGUCAGGGCGAGCUGUUAAGUAGGUGUUUUUGAAGACCAAAACUCGCUCUUGGAACUUCAGAAGAAGAGGAAGAAGAAGAAGAAGAAGUUUUAAGUAGUUAUAUUUUCUUAGUCCUCCGGCUGAAAAAAAAAAGAAAAAAAAAAGCCCUUGAUGGAAAGGACACUCGAAGAUAAACAUCUUGUGAGAGACGUUUUCUAGUAUUUAAGAUAAACUAUUUGCCGAGGAUGCUUCUUAUUCUUGAACUGAAAGCUCUUGAGCUGAAUGGAGGUUGGGAGGUUCCUUGAGGUAAACGCUUCUGCUAGUAAGGAGACUAUAACUGGAGAGCGCGUAUGGAAGUACUCGUAUAUUUCACUCUUAAAGUGAAAGCUCUGAUGGAAUGAGGACUGGAAAGAAAAUCGACAUGGAAAACAUGGAAAACAUUUCAUUCCCUUUACCAAAAAGGCAGAAAGGAGCCUACAGCUGGAAAACGUCAAUAGAAGAGAUUUAUAUCGGAAACGUUCAUACCACUUAAGCCGCAAGCCAUCGACGGAGAGAAAAGGUAUUAAGUAGACUCCCCGAUUAGUUCUUGAGCAGCAAGCCUCCGCACCGGAAAGUAACCUUAAUAGAAUGAUAAUAGUUUAUAAAGGGCGUUUCGUAUUCCAAAGAGCUGAAAAAGAAAAUGUUACGUAACAAGAAGACAGGAAUCAGUUACUGAACAAGAGGGAAGCCUUCAGCUAAUGGUAAGUUUAUGAACGACCGUAAUUCUUAACGCUAAGAUGAACACCAGCGUGAUUUGGUCUACUGGAGGAAUGGGUUACCAGCCAUUCCCUGGGAAAGGAUCGAUAGAAGACGCGAAGUAUUAGUGAUCUUCAAGGGUGCCACUUCGAGUUCAAACAAAGGGAUUCCUGGCGGACAUUUCUUUCCUGUUGGACACGGAAAUUAGGGAAUUCUAUUUUGGUGAACAUUUUUAAAUGCCAAAGAGAUCUAGAGGUCUAGCAGACGUUAGGUUGUUUCAUUGUUAAUAUUUACUCGCACCCGAAGCAACCUUAUCGACGAAUCUUUUCUAGUAUAUUAUAUGUAUAUAUAUAUAUCGUAGUUGUGCCAUGCCUGUGCGCAAAAGUGCUGAGUCAUUCUGUCCCUAUUGGGAACAGUUAGAAUUUUAAAAGAACACUUGAUAAGAUUCGACAGUCAGCGAAUGGAAAUCACCGAGGGCUUUUUAUUAUUUAAUAUAUAUAUAUAUUUUCUCUCUCAUUCGAUUGAAUCAAGUGCUCGAGAGUCAUUCCAGUGUUUAAAACGACCUCAUUCAUUUCAAAGGGAACUUUAAUGCUCUUAUGUUUUUAGUACUUAGAUAUUUACGUUUGCUAAUUCAAGUGUAUGUGGGAAGCUAUACUUUUCUAAAGUUUUUGUGGGCAGUGGGCGGCUCU